GGGCCCGUGGCGUAGUGGCUACACGUUUGCUUCAUAAGCAGAUGGUCUGGGUUCGAACCCAGCCCCG
rnacentral:tRNA from 1 species